UGUUUUCUGGGUUGAAAUGAGAAUGUGUGUCCCCCCUGCCCCCUUCAAUCCUGACCCCUUUAGCGCA
rnacentral:miRNA from 1 species